UUGAUAGUAAUUGGACGGACGAAAUUCAUUUACUCUAUUCUUGACACUAUAAUUAUUGCGCAAAUCAUGAAAAUCGUUUCUCCUACCAUUUGUUCUAGGAUAUGCAUCAUUUCUAGAAUAGUUGUUUCUAGGUUGGAAGUCAUUUCUAGGUGUUCUAAAAGGUUCAAAAAUCUUUCUAAUGUUUGGCCUAGAAUGUGCAUUAU
rnacentral:lncRNA from 1 species